rnacentral:rRNA from 1 species
GGGCUACACACGUGCUACAAUGGCGACUACAGUGGGCUGCAAUCCAGCGAGGGUGAGCUAAUCUCCAAAAGUCGUCUCAGUUCGGAUUGCUCUCUGCAACUCGAGAGCAUGAAGGCGGAAUCGCUAGUAAUCGCGGAUCAGCAUGCCGCGGUGAAU